GAUGAACGCUGGCGGCGUGCCUAACACAUGCAAGUCGAACGGACAUUUUUGGAAAGUUCUUCGGAACCGGAAUCUAAAUGUUAGUGGCGGACGGGUGAGUAACGCGUAAGCAAUCUGCCUAUCAGAGGGGAAUAACAGUGAGAAAUCACUGCUAAUACCGCAUAAGCUGUGAGUAUCGCAUGAUACAAGCAGAAAAGGAGCAAUCCGCUGAUAGAUGAGCUCGCGUCUGAUUAGUUAGUUGGUAGGGUAACGGCCUACCAAGACGAUGAUCAGCAGCCGAACUGAGAGGUUGAUCGGCCACAUUGGGACUGAAACACGGCCCAG
rnacentral:rRNA from 1 species